rnacentral:rRNA from 1 species
AUUGAACGCUGGCGGCAGGCCUAACACAUGCAAGUCGAACGAGUGGCGGACGGGUGAGUAACGUCUGGGAAACUGCCCGAUGGAGGGGGGUAACUACUGGAAACGGUAGAUAAUACCGCAUAACAUCGGAUGUGGCCAGAUGGGAUUAUCUAGUAGGUGUGGUAACGGCUCACCAAGGCGACGAGCCUGAGCUGGUCUGAGAGGAUGACCAGCAACACGGGAACUGAGACACGGUCCAGACUCCUACGGGAGGCAGCAGUGGGGAAUAUUGCACAAUGGGCGCAAGCCUUAAGCAGCCACGCCGCGUGUAUGAAGAAGGCCUUCGGGUUGUAAAGUACUGUCAGCGAGGAGGCGUUACUCGCAGAAGAAGCACCGGCUAACUCCGUGCCAGCAGCCGCGGUAAUAC